rnacentral:rRNA from 1 species
GACGAACGCUGGCGGCGUGCUUAACACAUGCAAGUCGAACGGAAAGGCCCUGCUUUUGUGGGGUGCUCGAGUGGCGAACGGGUGAGUAACACGUGAGUAACCUGCCCUUGACUUUGGGAUAACUUCAGGAAACUGGGGCUAAUACCGGAUAGGAGCUCCUGCUGCAUGGUGGGGGUUGGAAAGUUUCGGCGGUUGGGGAUGGACUCGCGGCUUAUCAGCUUGUUGGUGGGGUAGUGGCUUACCAAGGCUUUGACGGGUAGCCGGCCUGAGAGGGUGACCGGCCACAUUGGGACUGAGAUACGGCCCAGACUCCUACGGGAGGCAGCAGUGGGGAAUAUUGCACAAUGGGCGGAGGCCUGAUGCAGCAACGCCGCGUGCGGGAUGACGGCCUUCGGGUUGUAAACCGCUUUCACCUGUGACGAAGCGUGAGUGACGGUAAUGGGUAAAGAAGCACCGGCUAACUACGUG